rnacentral:rRNA from 1 species
GUGAGUAGUUCUAGAGUUUGUAUCCUGGCUCAGAUGAACGCUGGCGGCGUGCUUAACACAUGCAAGUCGAACGGAGUUCUGAUGUGUGUAGCGAAGUAGCCUGCUACGGAGUGGAACUUUUCAGAACUUAGUGGCGGACGGGUGAGUAACGCGUGGGUAACCUGCCUCAUACAGGGGGAUAACAGUUAGAAAUGACUGCUAACACCGCAUAACAUGGCGAGACCGCAUGACCUUGCCAUCAAAAAUUUAUUGGUAUGAGAUGGGCCCGCGUCUGAUUAGCUAGUUGGUGAGGUAAUGGCUCACCAAGGCGACGAUCAGUAGCCGGCUUGAGAGAGUGACCGGCCACAUUGGGACUGAGACACGGCCCAA